GCUCCGGCGGUGCAGGAUGAGCCCGCGGCCUAUCAGCUAGUUGGUGAGGUAACGGCUCACCAAGGCGACGACGGGUAGCCGGCCUGAGAGGGCGACCGGCCACACUGGGACUGAGACACGGCCCAGACUCCUACGGGAGGCAGCAGUGGGGAAUAUUGCACAAUGGGCGAAAGCCUGAUGCAGCGACGCCGCGUGAGGGAUGACGGCCUUCGGGUUGUAAACCUCUUUCAGCAGGGAAGAAGCGAAAGUGACGGUACCUGCAGAAGAAGCGCCGGCUAACUACGUGCCAGCAGCCGCGGUAAUACGUAGGGCGCAAGCGUUGUCCGGAAUUAUUGGGCGUAAAGAGCUCGUAGGCGGCUUGUCACGUCGGUUGUGAAAGCCCGGGGCUUAACCCCGGGUCUGCAGUCGAUACGGGCAGGCUAGAGUUCGGUAGGGGAGAUCGGAAUUCCUGGUGUAGCGGUGAGAUGCGCAGAUAUCAGGAGGGACACCGGUGGCGAAGGCGGAUCUCUGGGCCGAUACUGACGCUGAGGAGCGAAAGCGUGGGGAGCGAACAGGAUUAGAUACCCUGGUAGUCCACGCCGUAAACGGUGGGCACUAGGUGUGGGCAACAUUCCACGUUGUCCGUGCCGCAGCUAACGCAUUAAGUGCCCCGCCUGGGGGAGUACGGCCGCAAGGCUAAAACUCAAAGGAAUUGAC
rnacentral:rRNA from 1 species